AGGAUUCAGAGCUUUCUCCAGUGUUAGUAGAAUAAAUUUGAACCCCCUGAGGCUGGGUUUGUGACUGGUCUGAGCUGGAUGGGAUCAGUUGCCUCUUCUGAGUUUGGCCAAAGCUGGAUCCUCCUAGGGCCUGAAAAAAAUUUAAGAGCUAUUUCUCCAUAAGAUCCCUUCAAUCAAAACACUUUGUCUAACUGCUCAUUUCUUCAGAUGGUAUCCGGCAGGUACUAUCAGAUGGAAGAACUGCCAUGUAUGCAUCUUGGAUUUACAGCUGAAUUGGUCCUCAGAGGUCAUUGAGUACAACGUUCUGGUGCACAGAAAGGUUAAGUGACUUGCUCAGGGUCACAUGGUAGGACUUGAAUCCAGGGCUCCUUGAUUCCAUGUCUGGUACCCUAUUUGCUAUGACAUGCUGCCUCAUGUUUUUGCAUUAUUCAGUUUCAAUUGCUGUUCUUUCCACUCGCAUUGUUGCAGCCAUUGUGUCUUGGACCACUAGGUAAAGGAAUAUAGUACAUUGAAAAUGCCUGGGUACUUUGGGUGAGCUGGGAGUUGAGCCUGGGACAGCCUUGUGUGUCAUUGCCCUGGAGAUUCUGGGUUUGUGUAUCAUAUCCCUGGAGACCCCAAUGAAGACCAUAACAAAAGAGACAUCAUCUUGAGUUUGUGUUCAUGUAUUUUAUGGAUACCCUUGGUUAUCUGUUGCCAUAUCUAUAUUGCCAGUAACCAUGUGGAUGGGUAUGUUUGGAGAGGGAAGUCAGUAUGACUGGUUGCCAAAUAUAGUACCAACUCAGUUUCCUAUAAGUAAUGUAAGAAUUGAAAUAAUAUCUCUACCCAGAUAUCUAUUUUAUAAAGUAUAUUGGAAAGGGUAGACAAUCAUUCCUAAGUAACUUGACCGUGUGGUGCCUAGCCUGCCAGUCUCUUUCUUCCUUCACUCCACCUGCCUGUUCUGCAUUCUGACUUCUUCCUUCCUAAUUCUCUUCUUGGUUCUCCCCUGAUUCUCUCUUGAUUCUCCCCCAAUUCUCCCCAAACCUUGACCUUUAUUGACCCACAGCAUGCUGACUGACACAAAACCUGGCACAACUGUGGUAUGUUAGGAAUGUUUGAUAGACAGAUAAAGUUAUUGGGGGGGGAGGGGAGGAUCUUCCUUGACACAAUCCUCCCUGUGAUCCUUUGGGAGACUCAUCUCCCCAAUGGAUCAUUUAAAUAUAACUAUCAUAUAACUAAAUACCUUCUAGCUAAAAAUACAUACAAUAUUACAUUUUUCUAAGAGGGAGUUACAAUAGUUAGAGAUGAGAAUAAAAUACAAAGACUGAUUGAUAGAUGCAUUGACAAAAUGCCAAUUAGGGGGCUGUCCCCUUUGUCACAAGAGUUUACAUUCAGAAGAAGUAUGUUCAAUCCCCUUCAAUUCAGUUCAUUAUAUCCCAAAGUUCAUUCUGGAUCUUUUGAUGCAGUGUGUGGCUUCUUCAGGCACUUUACAGCACCUUCUCCAAAAGGAUCCGCUUUCUUUUUGGAUGUUGCCAAGUUUCUUUUCCUGAAAUUUCUCCAAAAAAUUUUAAACCUUAAAUUUUUUAGGAUACUUACACAAUCCCCCCUGAGGAGGGUGUUGACAAACACCAGAAUCACACUGAGAUAAAUGACUGAGUUAUGAGGUAUAUGAAACAAUUGUCAAAAGAAAAACAAAAACAAAAAAAAACCACCCCCAAAAAAUCCCAAAUAAAAGAGUGAAAAAAUGAAAUUUCAUAUAAAAUAAUAAGAAAUACAGAAAUGAUAAAAAAUAAAAAUUUUACAUGUAUGAAAUUCUGAGUAAAAAAUAAUAAACCUGUAACAGGUUCUUGAAUCACAGUAAAAUCCAAUUAAAGUGGCUUAUGUUCCACAAGCCUGUAGGACAAUAGCAGCAACACAGAACUUUACCCAUUUGCAGCCAAGACUACAGAAAAUUGCCAAACUAUAAGAGAGAAAGGACUAAGUUUCAGCAGCAAAUGGGAAAAAUCAUUCUUUGGUCUGAUUUUACCACUACUGUCAGAGAUAGGGGGAUCCAGGAUGAUAGCUAACCUGAGGCACUUGACUCAAAGUAUUGCACAUGGAGUGUGGUUCAAGAAAGUCCUGCCUCUUAACAUAUGUCAAGUGCCUCAACCUUGAUUCGCACACUAGGUUCAAGUCCUUUUGUAUUGGCAUAGAAGUUCAACAAUCCUCCCUGCAUUGGAUUUGGUCUGUUUUGGCCUUGUGCUAUUUGGCACUGUAUAUUGGCUCUUUUGUUCCCUUCUCCUGGAAUUAGACAUAGACAUAAUCUUUUAACAAAGUCCCAUAACAUUUAUCAAUAAAUAGCAGGUUUCCAUAGUCUUUUGCCUUUUGGAUAUGCAUAUUACUAGGGCUAAUAGAUACUGUAAACUUUAUCCUUCAAGUUAAAAAAACAUUAAUACUGAUCUCAUGUACUUCAAGUAUCACCAAGGUUAGGAAAAAAGAAAGAAAAAUAAAUCAAAUAUCCUACUGCAAACAGAAAGAGAAAAAAUGGAAAAAAAUAUAAUUUCCUAGUUAAAUAUUCCAUGUAACAAUGUGUUAGCUAAGCAGAGGCACAACACAAUAAGUGGUCACUCAAAAAUGAAAUUUAUAUCACUCUUAACUUGGCCAGGAUCUGCAGUGUGAUUGCACAUAAUUUUUCACCAGGUAAAAACCUUUUAAAAAACAGUAGUACAACAACUAAUACAGAUUCUAAAAAAUGCCAAAAUCCUCAAAAUUAUAAGAACCCAUUUGAGGACAAUAACAAACAAACCAACUAUCAUUAGGAUUCACAUGAUUUGCUGUGUGACAUCCAAAAACCUAUAAACACAUGAAUACUUGUCACAAGUUCUACAGAUUUAGCCAAUCUUUCAACCUUGGCAAAGAUAUUUUUAACAAAGUCUAUCAUUACCAUCUUUCCAAAAUUUAGUGGGAGAGAAACCCAAAAAACCUCAGUACUGUUGAUGAAUAAUUACAAAAUAUAAUAAAUCCAUUUAGAAGCUACAAGGUUUCAUAGGAAAAAUCAUUCCCACCUCCCAGAUGAGAUUAUAACACUUCAGAGGGUAACUUAGCCAUUUAGGCACCUCCCUCCCUCUUGGUAUGAGACUGUAACAGUACACCAGAACUGUCUCCAAUAUGUUCCAACCAUUUUCACAUGGAGCUGAGGACUAAAAAGCAAAAAUCACUUCGGAUACAUCAUCCAUUACAUUUACAAUAAAUGCAGAGAUGGGAAAAUACAAAAAUGCCAUUGCACUCUACUUCUGCUACAAAUAGACCCUUACCUCUUUUUUUAAAAAAUAUAUUUUAUUUGAUCAUUUCCAAGCAUUAUUCGUUAAGGACAUAGAUCAUUUUCUUUUCCUCCCCCCCAACCCCAUAGCCGACGCGUAAGUCCACUGGGCCUUAGAUGUUUUCUUGAUUUGAACCGAUUGCUUUGUUGAUAGUAUUUGCAUUAGAGUGUUCAUUUAGAGUCUAUCCUCUGUCAUGACCCCUCAACCUCUGUAUUCAGGCAGUUGCUUUUUCUCGGUGUUUCCACUCCCAUAGUUUAUCCUUUGCUUAUGAAUGGUGUUUUUUUCUCCUGGAUCCCUGCAAGUUGUUUAGGGACAUUACACCGCCACUAAUGGAGAAGUCCAUUACGUUCGAUUAUACCACAGUGUAUUAGUCUCUGUGUACAAUGUUCUCCUGGUUCUGCUCCUCUCGCUCUGCAUCACUUCCUGGAGGUUGUUCCAGUCUCCAUGGAACUUCUCCACUUUAUUAUUCCUUUUAGCACAAUAGUACUCCAUCACCAACAUAUACCACAGUUUGUUCAGCCAUUCCCCAAUUGAUGGGCAUCCCCUCGUUUUCCAGUUUUGGGCCACCAGACCCUUACCUCUUUUUACAAACAACUCAAGAGGCAAGCAAAUAAAUGAUCAAAGGUAGGGAUGCUCCCAGAUAUCUGAAAACCACUUUUUAAGACUCAGUAAAAUCAACUGAGAUUAUUAGAUAAUUAAAUUCCCAAAACUUGUAUACAGGUUGAAACCAACAUGAUGGAAUCCAUCCAUCAGCUCUGUGUGACAAUUAACAAAGGCAAAAAAGGAAUCAAAUUCUGUUUAUGGGCUUUUACAAUGAACAUUCUUCAGUACAAACAUAGUUAUAAGGGAGGUACAAAUAAAGACAAUGUAACAGAAAAUUUCAAUUUUGAUAACUUAUGAAGUGGUUAACAGUAAAUUACAUACAUCUUGUAUUUAAGACUUGUGUUACAGAGACUUCUUCAUUCCGGGGAGGGAAACAAACUGAAACAGUUAACAUUAAUAAGGCAAUGAGGUCUGAAAAGGCUUAAAAAUUCACUUCCAGACUCUUUGAGGUUCCUUCCCCUCCCAAGUACCACCAGUCAGCACAAUUUCUUUGUUCACACCUCUGGGUUCCCCCAUACUGAGGGGAGUUCCUGCACUGAGUACAGGUGUUUGGGUAUGUUUUGAUUUUUAUAUAUAUAUUUAUAAAUACUGGUACUUGUGGGAAUAUCAUGUUGAUAAAUCGACCAUGCCCUUCAGUGAGGAAACCAUUCUUUCCUUGGGACCAAACCAUUCUAGCUUAACUCCUUCAGUAAAAUCUAGCAUCUGAAUAACUAUUCCUCCUACCAAUAUUACUAUUCCUGAAACUUCUAUUCCUAUUUUCCUGAUUUCUCUUCUUAUAAUUCAUAAUUACAUGACUAACUUUUCCACAAAAAUGACAUGUUAGUGGUUGUUUCAUGGAUUCUAGUAAGGGUGCUAUGAUCUCCUUGCUUAACCUUUACAACAGUUUCAGUUAAUUAUUUUAUUUCCUUCCUCAAUGUCUCUACUAAAGUAGCAUUCUCCUUAUCCUUCUCACCCUGUUUAGAAGUCAAUUCAUUUAUUUCCUUCCUCAAUGCUUCCACUAAAUCAGUGUUCUCCUUUUCCUUAUGUCCCUCAAAAGCAUAAACUGUCACUCUUUUCAAUUCUUCAGGGUCUAUAGUAGGUCAAUUUGGACAGCUAAUAUCAUCUGUGGUAACUGCUACUUGGCCUGUGUUCUGGAGUUCAAUGGAGUGGGUUGUAGUGAGGCUGGCAGGGGGAAAGGAGUGGGGUGGUGGAAUGGAGCUGGUCAGCAGGUGGAGAGGCAGAGCGUAAGGA